GAUGAACGCUGGCGGCGUGCCUAAUACAUGCAAGUCGAGCGAACGGACGAGAAGCUUGCUUCUCUGAUGUUAGCGGCGGACGGGCGAGUAACACGUGGAUAACCUACCUAUAAGACUGGGAUAACUUCGGGAAACCGUAGCUAAUACCGGAUAAUAUUUUGAACCGCAUGGUUCAAAGGUGAAAGACGGUCUUGCUGUCACUUAUAGAUGGAUCCGCGCUGCAUUAGCUAGUUGGUAAGGUAACGGCUUACCAAGGCAACGAUGCAUAGCCGACCUGAGAGGGUGAUCGGCCACACUGGAACUGAGACACGGUCCAGACUCCUACGGGAGGCAGCAGUAGGGAAUCUUCCGCAAUGGGCGAAAGCCUGACGGAGCAACGCCGCGUGAGUGAUGAAGGUCUUCGGAUCGUAAAACUCUGUUAUUAGGGAAGAACAUAUGUGUAAGUAACUGUGCACAUCUUGACGGUACCUAAUCAGAAAGCCACGGCUAACUACGUG
rnacentral:rRNA from 1 species